GCCGCGGAAAAAAGUAAGCCAUCCGUAGUGGCAUUGUGAAAAGGCCAGCCAACAGCCCGUAUUUCUUGACAGAGCUAUCAAGCCAGCCUCCCAGGGAUCAAGAAAGUCCCCGCGCUAAACAGAAGCCAUACGGAGACAGGCAGGACACCACGUCAGCAACCCAGGGCUCGAGAAAAUUCCCCGAGGGGAAAAGAGCCAGUGAGCAGCCUACGAAGAAGGACAGGGCCACCACGCUAGCUACCCAGGGCACGAGCAAAUUUUCCGAAAGGAAAAGGGCCAAAAAGCAUCAUCCGAGAAAAGGCAGCGCUCACACGUUAACUCACAGGGCUCAAGCAAAUUUCCCAAAGGGAAAAGUGCCGAAAAGCACCACACGCUAGGAGGCUCCGGCGACAACAUUCGGCCACAUUCCGCCAGCAUAUCAACAUCC